rnacentral:lncRNA from 1 species
GUGAACCUCUCUGUGGGUUUCAGAACGCCAGGGUCUGAACAGAGAAGCUUCAGAAUACUUUCUCCGACUGGAGAACGUUUUUAUUGUGGGAGGAAAAAAUGUUGCCAGUCUCACUUCACAGACACCUGGAAUUCAUGAAGUCUGAGGACUUCUUUCAUUUUACUUUCAACUAAAAGCUCCAGCAUGAAACAGCAAAGGCUCACAGAGCUCAAGAUCAGGAGGUGGCCCUGUGAGAGGGUAUUCGGCCUGGAUCCCUGGUGAAACUCCAUCACUGAGCAGGUCUGUGAUAGCCCGUGUGGUCUGCUUUCUGUAGAUAAUACUCGGAGACUGUGCUGCAAACAUUCUCAGAUUAUUCAAAGAUGAACGAACAGUUCAAAUGGGCAGGUUUCUGUGAGUGCUUCCCUCUCAACCCCUUCCUUUUUUCAGUAUGUCUCCCUAUUUUCUUCCUCUCAAGCGUAUCUACUUCAGAAAACGUGGAAAGAAAAGAGCCUGGUGGGAAAAGUCGAUCAAGUGACAAUGACGUGCCCUUACGGAAAAAUCUCUGGGUUAAGAAACAAUGGAGAUACCAAACAAGAUAAGACUAAGCCACAGAGAUAUCUGAAAAACUGCCAUCAAUCAAACCUCUUUGUGAAGCCGGUUAGUGCAGCUUCCAUUGUUCUAAGCAGCAGGCAAAAGGAACAAAUAAAAUCCAGCUGUUUCUUCACUGUGGCACCAGAAAAUCCCUCCAAAACCCCCCAAGGUGAACCUCACGUCAACCAAAACCAAGACAUGAGCCAGAGCCUAAACAGAGGAAAGAAAACAGAAGAGAGGAUUCUAGUGAUGUAUCUGGUCAUCAUUCCAAGCAACCAAGCUGAACUUUUGCAUUGACAAACAAUUUUUUCCAGAGCAUUUUAAAAUUUACAGGUUGGUUUGCAACAAAGCUUUUCAAAAAGAAGUAUUUAUGAUGGUAAAUCGUUAAAAGAAAUGUGUUCUAGACCAAGAAAGGCAAAGCUUUCAUGUCUUGUUUAGUCUCUAGCAUGCUUGUUUGCAAAACACAAGCUCCAGUCUGCAUGUUUCCGCAAUCAACUGACUGUCUUAGAGAAUAUCUCAAAAUCAGUCUGUCCCCGUGCUUGCUUAUGAUUCCGCGGUAAUCCUCUGUUUGUAGUCACAAGUUGUCAGGAGAACAUCAUGUAAGGCAUGGUAUGAAGACUUAAGAAAUCUUGAAAUCAGAAACCUCAGUUUUCUUUCUCUUGAAGUGUUUCUAAGGGAAGAAAAAGGAGAAAGGAAAUUAGCAUCUACUGUUACCUCAUUUAAUUCCUUCAACAAUCUUAAGGGUAUUAUUGUCUCCAUUCCUCAAGAAAAGAAACCAAGGCUCAGAGAAAAGGACUCACCCGCCCUGUGACCAAUGACUGGGGGUCCCGGGUCAGAACCCAGAAUUCUGACUCGCACCCAGUGCUGGCUCCCCUGUGUCCCAGGGAUGGGCAGGAC